rnacentral:lncRNA from 1 species
UUUGUAUAACCCUGAGGGUCUCCUUCCAUUUCCAUGCAAUUUCCCUUCUCUCUCCCUUUCCCUCCCACCUCUCAUCCCUGUUUAAUGUUAAUCUUCUUCUCAUGCUCUUCGUCCCUACUCUGUUCUUAGUUACUCUCCUUAUAUCAAAGAAGACAUUUGGCAUUUGUUUUUUAGGGAUUGGCUAGCUUCACUUAGCAUAAUCUGCUCUAAUGCCAUCCAUUUCCCUGCAAAUUCUAUGAUUUUGUCAUUUUUUAAUGCAGAGUAAUACUCCAUUGUGUAUAAAUGCCACAUUUUUUUUAUCCAUUCGUCUAUUGAAGGGCAUCUAGGUUGGUUCCACAGUCUUGCUAUUGUGAAUUGUGCUGCUAUGAACAUCGAUGUAGCAGUGUCCCUGUAGCCUGCUCUUUUUAGGUCUUUAGGGAAUAGACCAAGAAGGGGAAUAUCUCAGCAAAAGAAACAAUAAGAGAGGUAAAUAGGGAGCCUACACCCUGGGAACAAAUCUUUACUCCUCACACUUCAGAUAGAGCCCUAAUAUCCAGAGUAUACAAAGAACUCAAAAAAUUAGACAAUAAGAGAACAAACAACCCAAUCAACAAAUGGGCCAAGGACCUGAACAGACACUUCUCAGAGGAGGACAUACAGUCAAUCAACAAGUACAUGAAAAAAUGCUCACCAUCUCUAGCUGUCAGAGAAAUGCAAAUCAAAACCACCCUAAGAUACCAUCUCACUCCAGUAAGAUUGGCAGCCAUUAUGAAGUCAAACAACAACAAGUGCUGGCGAGGAUGUGGGGAAAAGGGUACACUUGUACAUUGCUGGUGUAAUUGAAAUCUUAACAAUAAUCUCUUACAGAUUUUAUGAUUAGUAGAAAUUAUCCUUACUUCCCUUAGUUUCAGAAUCUGGUCUGUACAGAGUCACAAAAUCUUUCCUUAAGGGUAACUUGGCUUCUUCUUAUAAACAUUAUUUUGAAACUUCAUUUUUUCUGCAGAUAACCAUUUGUUAAGAAAUGUUACAUAACCUGUCCAGUUAAGCCAGAAAGGGUGCAAGUAAAUUGUUUCAGGUAAAAUAAAGCAUGAGGUAAACAUUUUGGGCCUAUUUACUUUUUAUUUAUGGGACCGUGUAUUGAAACUAGAGGUAGUCAACAACUGAGCUACAUCAACAGCCCUUUUUAUAAAUUUUACUUUAUUUAGAGACAAGUUCUCACUAUUUUGCUUAGUGCCUCACUGAUAAGUUGCUGAGACUGGCUCUUAACUCAUGAUUCUCUUGCCUCACCCUAUAAAUCUAAUGGUAAUAUAGGCAUGGGGCACCAUGCCCAACCUACCACUUAUCUUAAAGGUACUUCAAUUUUUAUUACAAGGCUCUGUGAAUAAUACUAUCAUGAAAAUGGAAGUGCAAUGUAUUCUAUGAUGUAAUGACUCUAAUUUGUUUACAUCCAUAUUCAAAAUUACUAGUACUGGAUCAUUUUAUUUAACUAUAUUUUUAUUUUAACUUUUUGAAGAACCUGAAUACCAUUUUCUAAAACAGCUUUAUUUAAUUUAUAUUCUCACCAACAUUUUUACAACUGAUUAUUUAUAUCUAUGCUCAUAUAUUCUGGAGUAUCUACUAUUUUUUCCAUUUUUGUUUCUUCUUCUAAAUAUUUAUUUAUUUAUUUAUUUGUCAGAGACAGACAAAUUCCUUUUAUUUUAUUUAUUUAUUUUAUCUGGUUCUGAGGCUUAAACCAGUGACUUUCAUGUAUUAGGCAAUUGCUGUACAACUAAGCCAGAACCACAGCCACUAUCUUUUGAAUUUUUUUAGAAGGUAUUCUGACAACACUACAAAGGUUGUAGGAAUUUGCCAUUUGACUGAUGCAUUAAAUUGCUGAUACUAGCUUGUCAGAAUUUAGGCUGUCAAGUAGCCAGAGGCAGAGUGUGCUUUAAAUACUUUCUCUGAUCAAUCGGGGAUCAUUAAUUUUUAACACAUUUCUAACACUACUGCUGGGAAUUUUAGUCCUUAGAUGUAGUUACACACAAUGCAAAUCCAAUUGUUUGCUAUGUAUGAAGAUUUGCACAUGCUCAAUCUCCUUUGCUUAUAGAUAUUGGAAGUUUAGGAUAAAAUUUCUUCAACAGAAGUUGCUAAUGUUAGACACUCAGUGCAUGGAGAAACUUUUUUUUUCUGGAAACAAUUGGUAGGCUUAAAAUUAUUAUUGGGGUAAACAAGGGUAGGUCAGGGCUCAGAAAGUGCUCAAGUUACACUGAGUCUAUCAGUGGUUUGCUUAAUUUUACCUCUUGAACCCAGAAUUAAAUCAAAAGAAAAGCAAAUUUUCCAGCAACAGAAGUAAGAAAACCACUGGUAAGUCUAUUCUUGGAACAAACUGACACCUUUGAGAUUUAACUUCUCUGCCUUCAGGUUGUGAAACACAUGAAAAGACUUACUUGUUCAUAGAAGACCACCACUUUGUCAUUUUUAUACUUAUAUAUCACUUCUUCUAUAACCAAUGAAUAAAUUAAUGUAGAAAUUACAGAAAUAUUUAAAGUCGCUUUUAUAUAUCUUGAUAGCCCUCUAUUCAAGGUGUCCCCUGACUUUGGGGGAAUUUUGUCCCAAAUAUGUGGCACUUCACUCGACAAUUCAAAUAUCCAGGUCUACUCCACCUUUUUCCUACUCAUUUCACUGUAGUUAUUUUCUUUAUUGUCCAAUGUACCUACAUCUCUGAAUUCAUUCAUGACUUUGUCAAAUAAGGAUCCAUAACAUAAGUAUAUGUGUAUUCGGUGUAUCAGUAAAGGGAGAGAUGGUUAGAAGCUUCACAUUCUGCUAUAUUUCUGUUAUGUUUCAGUUGUUAGGUGUCCCCCAAAAGCUCCCCUGUUAGACAAUGCAGGGAGGUUUGGGAUACAAAUGAUUGGGUUAUAGCCUUAAUGUCAUCAGUGAAUUAAUUCCUGAAUAAAUUACCUGUGUGGUAACUGAAGUGACAAUGUGUCGCUGAAGGAAGUGGGAAUUGGGCAUGUGGCUUUGAAGUAUAAAUUUAUGUAUUUACUCAAAACAGAGAAUCUGUCUCUUCUUCCUAGUCAUCAUGAGAGUUUCUUCCCUCUGCUACACCCUUCUGCCAUUAAGUUCUGCCUCACCUUGAGCCCUAAGGAAUGGAGCAGUCUUCUAUAGACAAAGACCUCUGUAAAGCUAAGCCUGCAAAUAAAAUUUUAUUCCUCUACAAUUUCUCUGGUCAAGUUCUUUAGUCACAGUGGUAAAAAAAAAAAAAAAAAAAUAAAGCUGACUAAAACAACUUCUAAUUUCAUCUCACCUUAACAUCUUCUUUUUGUGAUGAGUUUGAACAUUACCUUACAUAUUCUGCACACAGAGUUUCAGGAAACUGUAAUCCUAGCCCAAACAUAUAACUUUCUAUUUUUAAUUUAUUUAUUAAUUUAUUUUUCACAUAAUAAGUUACAGUUAAUCUUGGGUAUUGCAAAUUUCAUAAGAGAACUUAUGUAAUAUUUUCGAGACAUACAAUUAAGAUUUUUUAUUUAAAAUAUUUUAUUUCUUCUGCAUUCACUCACAUUCUUUUAUAAUCUAAUAUUUAAAAAUUUAUUCUAAUUUCUUAUAUAUGAUGGCAGAAUUCAUUUCAGUUCAUAAUACACAUAUAUGGCACGAUUCUUUAUAUCUCUUGUUAUACACAACAUAGAGUCACACCAUUUGUGUCUUCAUACAUUUACUUAGGGAAAUGGUAUGUUUCUUUUUCCACCGCCUUUCCUAUUGCCAUGUCCCCUUCCUCCUCCCCUCUGCCACAUCUAUAGUUUGUCUAUUCCUCCCGUCCUCCUCCUUCCUCUCAAUUUUGAAUCACAAUCUUUAUAUCAGAGAAAAUAUUCAGCAUUUGUUUUGUUGAAUAUUGGCUUACUUCACUUAUUAGAUUUAUAUUCUCCAACUCCAUCCAUUUAUCUGAAAAUGCCAUGAAUGUAUUCAAUUGUGUAUUAAUGUGCAUUUUAUUUAUCCAUUAUUCUACUGAAGAGCAUCAGAGCAUACUACAAGGAUACAGCUAAAUCAAUAUUUAUAACAGCACAAUUCCAAAAAUGCUUAAAACCACCAGAUUAUAAUAUUUAUUUUUCUAAAGAUCUUAUGUACAGAUAUUAAAAUUCUACUUUACACAGUUUUAUGAGCAUUGUGGUUAUUGAAGAUAUUGAAUGUUUCUUUAGAUAUUUGCAAUCAGGUAUACAAUUAUUUGUUCUAAUAAAAUUGUUUCUAAAAUAAAAAUUUUAAAUGGAGAAGCCAAUAAAAUCAAAGUCUGGCCUCAUAAUUUAUUAGGUAUAAGAGUUUGUAAAAUAUGUUUUAUAUAUAUCUUAGGUUUUCUUACUUAGUAACUCUAUAAACUAUGAUAAAUCAACUAAGUAUUCUGGGAAUCUCAGUUUUAUCAUCUGUCAAUCAUUAAUAAUUUCUCUCAGAGUUUCUGUAAAGUUUGAUAGUGCCC